GUACAAGGUGAAGCAUUUAUAGGAUGACAUUGGACUCUGCAUUGUCGGAGUGUCCUAAGGUCUUACCAGUAGCUCAUUUUAUGGAAUCCUACUAGACAGAAGGGAGGAUGCUGUAGUAAGAAAGCCGGUUCUCAAAUUCUGUUGCUCUAAUAGGAUUACUACUGAAUCACCAGCCUACUUAAUUAGCCAUAUAAAAGUUAUUUAGCAAGGUGUGGAUUGGGGCUUGGGGAAGAAAUAUCAGGAGCACAGCAUGUCUGGAAAAGUGUCUAUAAAAAUCCAUCUAUAAAAGUCUCUUACUAUGUGGUCUAAUUAAGGUUUGCAUACAGCUCAUGCAUUCCUUACAAAACAAACAGGUUGGUUUCUGUUUGCUGCUCUUUAUUUUUAUAACCUGAUUACAAACUGAAGGAGUUAAUUUAGCCUUAGUUUAGUUACACAACAGAAAACAGUGCUUGUCACUGCAGAGACCUUAGGAAAGAAUCUCUACAUGUGUACUAUAGAGUCCUAAGAAGGAUUCAGUACUUGGAUCAAAAGUAGUUGCUGUGUAUUCAUCAGGCAGAUGCCUCUUCUUUCUUUUUGUUGAAAAUAGUUCAAAUCUGACCACGUAAUAAAUUCCAGUUCUCUCAUGUCCCAUAAAGACUUGAUGGAUGUUGGCAUAUGCUGUAAUUUUAUCACUUUUAAUUAUAUUCUAAUUAACUUACUUUACAGUAUACCUUAUUCCCUAAUUUUUCUCUGGCUUCUGUCUGUCUGAAAUGAUGGAAUAAGAUGGAAUACUUGCAAUGAAUAGCAAGUUCUUUUCUGCAAGAAAAUAAAUAUCUGGCAAUAAUCAUCUAGAUUUUUAAAUGUAAUUAAUAUACAAUGAGGUAUAUGAAUACAAUGGAUAGUAAUUCUACUUGAAUCCAACAGUCCAUCAAUUAGUUUCUUGUUGACAAAGGAUGGCAAGAAAGAUGAAAGAAAGGUGAGCAAAGCUUUCAGCCAGUAAUUGUGUGGUAAUGAGUCCCUCAGGAAGGACAAUUCUGGGGGCAAAUAAUAGUACCUUUUGCUCUGAUACUUGAGAUUUUAUAUCCUUAUCCAUUUCUGUUCUAUCUACCUAAAAUAAGCUAUUGGUCAUUAAAAGGGAAAACAAGUGACAUUGAAUGCUUCCCACUUUGAAAGGUAAGAUCUAUCAAAACAAAUGAAUCUAAAAUAUGAAUGGAAUUACUGGCUUUCUUUUUCUUCUGUGCUAAUGUGGU
ensembl:lncRNA